UAUGCCUUCGUCUCGUUUCCUUCCCUACGAAGGAACUCCACACCGAGUCCUCCACUCCACGACUCCCCAUCCCAGCCCCGCUCACCCCUCUCCGUGGCCUCGUCUCCUUCCCCUUUCUCUUCUCAAUCAGGAUUCAUGGAGGUGGGGGCAGGGACGCCAUCGACCGCGAGGCUAGGGUUCCUAGCCGCUGCCACACGCACAGCCGGCCGGAGCGGCGGCCAUUGAUUGUCCUCUCCACCGUUGCCCGGAGCUGCUCCGUGCAUCUCUGCCCGCCCCCGAUCAGGACUCGGCCCACGUCUCGGUGGCGAAGGAGGAGGCCAUGCUCCUCAAGGCGUCAAUGGGCUCCGUCAGGCUCCAGAUCGAGGGCUUCCUCAGUUUCAACCGCUGGUCAAGUUGUAUAUAGAGAUGAGGAGGCGGAGCAGCCGCCACAAGGUCGCUGCCGCUGGCCGAGAUCCGGAAGAUGGCCAUAGCGGCGGUGGUGGCGGCGGUUGCGGGGAGGAGCCAGUAGCAGCGGGAUCUGACCACGGUGUCGCCCUUUUUUAAACCAGCGAUGUUUGCAGUUACAGAUUUUUGCGAAAGCCCGCUGAAACGAAGUUUAGUUCAGCAGACCAUGUAUGUUGGAAGAAAGCAAAUUCUUGCCUUCCUAAUCCUCCGUAGCCAUGAUAUUUUAUUUUAGACAUUGCCCCAGCUCAGUGUAUCUCUGGUAAAAUACGAACAUCAUUUUUUAUUACUUUUAGGGGAUGCCACAGAAGGAAAAAUGACCAAGACUGCAUCUGUCAUGUUUUUUUUCUAGAUUGUUAAUUUCAAUUCAUGUUUGAUAUUGUAGUA